GAUUAACGCUGGCGGCGUGCCUAACACAUGCAAGUCGAGCGGCAGCGAGUUUUACGCUGAAUUCUGGAAGCUUCUAGUUGAAAGAGAAGAUUUAUUCAAGAAUUUUGUGUAAAAUGUCGGCGAGCGGCGGACGGCUGAGUAACGCGUGGGAACGUACCCCAAAGUGAGGGAUAACGCAUCGAAAGGUGUGCUAAUACCGCAUAUGGUCUUCGGAUUAAAGCCUUCGGGCGCUUUGGGAACGGCCUGCGUAAGAUUAGAUAGUUGGUGGGGUAAUGGCCUACCAAGUCGACGAUCUUUAACUGGUUUGAGAGGAUGAUCAGUCAGACUGGAACUGAGACACGGUCCAGACUCCUACGGGAGGCAGCAGUGAGGAAUCUUCCACAAUGGGCGAAAGCCUGAUGGAGCAACGCCGCGUGCAGGAUGAAGGCCUUCGGGUUGUAAACUGCUUUUAUAAGUGAGGAUUAUGACAGUAACUUAUGAAUAAGGAUCGGCUAACUACGUGCCAGCAGCCGCGGUCAUACGUAGGAUCCGAGCGUUAUCCGGAGUGACUGGGCGUAAAGAGUUGCGUAGGUGGUUUAAUAAGCGAAUAGUGAAAUCUGGUGGCUCAACCAUUCAGACUAUUAUUCGAACUGUUAAACUCGAGAGCAGAAGAGGUAGCUGGAAUUUCUAGUGUAGGAGUGAAAUCCGUAGAUAUUAGAAGGAACACCGAUGGCGUAGGCAGGCUACUGGGCUGUUUCUGACACUGAGGCACGAAAGCGUGGGGAGCGAACCGGAUUAGAUACCCGGGUAGUCCACGCCGUAAACGAUGGAUACUAGCUGUUUGGGGUAUCGACCCCCUGAGUAGCGAAGCUAACGCGUUAAGUAUCCCGCCUGUGGAGUACGAUCGCAAGAUUAAAACAUAAAGGAAUUGACGGGGACCCGCACAAGCGGUGGAUCAUGUUCUUUAAUUCGAUGAUAACCGAUAAACCUUACCAGGUCUUGACAUCCUUGGAAUCUUUCAGAAAUGAGAGAGUGCUUUUUAAGAGCCAAGUGACAGGUGACGCAUGGCCGUCGUCAGCUCGUGUCGUGAGAUGUUUGGUUAAGUCCAUCAACGAGCGCAACCCUUGUCAGUAGUUGUAUUUUUCUACUGAGACUGCCCCGGUAACGGGGAGGAAGGAGGGGAUGACGUCAGGUCAGUAUUUCCCUUACGUCCUGGGCUAGAAACGUGAUACAAUGGCUAGUACAAUGCGCAGCGAAGCCGCGAGGUGAAGCAAAUCGCAUCAAAGCUAGUCCCAGUUCGGAUUGUAGGCUGAAACUCGCCUGCAUGAAGUCGGAAUCGCUAGUAAUCGCAGAUCAGCAUGCUGCGGUGAAUACGUUCCCGGGUCU
rnacentral:rRNA from 1 species